rnacentral:rRNA from 1 species
CAGCCGCCGCGGGAAUACGGAGGGUGCAAGCGUUAAUCGGAAUUACUGGGCGUAAAGCGCACGCAGGCGGUUUGUUAAGUCAGAUGUGAAAUCCCCGAGCUUAACUUGGGAACUGCAUUUGAAACUGGCAAGCUAGAGUCUUGUAGAGGGGGGUAGAAUUCCAGGUGUAGCGGUGAAAUGCGUAGAGAUCUGGAGGAAUACCGGUGGCGAAGGCGGCCCCCUGGACUGAUACUGACACUGAGGUGCGAAAGCGUGGGGAGCAAACAGGAUUAGAUACCCCUGUAGUCCCUGUCUCUUAUAC